rnacentral:ncRNA from 1 species
UACCCUUGUAAUCCCCCGGAUAGGCGGGGGAGCAUCCACCGACCGGCCAUAACCGGCGUCACCAGGGGAA